AUGAGGAGAAACACACUAUUUCAGAUUAAGGUCAACCCUUGCCCUCACAAUUGUCCAAGUGUUAAUAGAUCUCAGAGAUUGAGGGCUGCAAAGAGAAGAUGGAUAACAAAUGCUUGUAUGCAGUGGACUAGAAAUAAUCCAGGCAUGGGCCCAAAGGAUAUUCAGCAGAGGUUGACUGAGAAGUAUGGAGUGGAUGUGCCAUACAGUGGGUGUUAUUUUGAUAAAGAGCUGGCACUAGACAAGAUAUUUGGGAAGUACAAUGAGAGUUUCCGUCUUAUUUAUUCAUUCAAAGCUGAAGUUGAGAGAACAUCACCAAGCAGUGUAGUUGAAAUUGACAAGCAUACUAACACAGUGAGAGGAAAGAAAAUAUACAAGGAGUGUUUCAGAAGAGUUUGUGUGUGUUUCAAGGCAUGUCAGAAAGGUUUCUUGGAGGGGUGCAGGCCUUAUCUUGUUGUGGAUGCAAUUGCACUGAAUGGUAGGUAUAGGGGUCAGCUUGUUUCUUCUUGUGCCCUUGAUGCUCACAACUGGUUAUUCCCUAUUGCCUAUGGUGUCAUAGAAGCAGAGUCAACUGAGAGCUAG
rnacentral:rRNA from 1 species